rnacentral:rRNA from 1 species
CCUACGGGGGGCAGCAGUGGGGAAUAUUGCGCAAUGGGCGAAAGCCUGACGCAGCGACGCCGCGUGAGGGAUGAAGGUCUUCGGAUCGUAAACCUCUGUCAGCAGGGAAGAACGGUCACUGUGCUAAUCAGCAGUGAAUUGACGGUACCUGCAAAGGAAGCACCGGCUAACUCCGUGACAGCCGCCGCGGUAAUACGGAGGGUGCGAGCGUUAAUCGGAAUUACUGGGCGUAAAGCGCUCGUAGGCGGUAUGUCAAGUCAAGGGUGAAAUCCCCGGGCUCAACCUGGGAACUGCCUUUGAAACUGGCAGACUGGAGUGUGUGAGAGGAUAGUGGAAGUCCAGGUGUAGGAGUGAAAUCCGUAGAUAUCUGGAGGAACAUCGGUGGCGAAGGCGACUAUCUGGCACAUAACUGACGCUGAGGAGCGAAAGCGUGGGUAGCAAACAGGAUUAGAUACCCUGGUAGUC